GCCAAGGGCUUCUUCCAUGGUCUAGUCAUCCCAGCAAGAGUGAAGUGGCCUCUCCUGUGGUUUUGAUUUGCAUUUCUCUAAUGACUAUGUUGAACAUCUUUUCAUGUCCUUGUUAGCCAUUUGUAUAUCCUCUUUGGAGAAAUGUCUGUUAAAGUAUUCUGCUCAUUUUUUCCCUUCAGUUGUUUGUCUUUUUGUUAUUGAGUUGUCAGAGUUCUUUAUAUAAUCUGGAUAGUAGACAUUUUUUGGAUAUAUGAUUUGAAAAUAUUUUCUGUCAUUCUAUAGGUAGUCUUUUCACUCCCUUGAUGCAUGAAAGUUUUAAUUUGAUAAAGUACAAUUGAUGUACAAAAGUUUUAAUUUGAUAAAGUACAAUUAAUUUUUUAUUUCGUUGCUUCUACUUUUUGUGUCAUAUCUAAGAAACAAUUGCUGAAUACAAGGUUAUGAAUAUUUCCCCCUAAGUUUUUUUCUAAGACUUUUAUAGUUUUAGCUUUUAUAUUUAUGUCUCAUAUCCAUUUUGAGGUAAGGGCUCAACUUUAUUUUUUUGCAUAUGGAUACCCCGUUGUCUCAGCAUCAUUUGUGGAAGACACUAUUCUUUCGCCAUUGAAUGCUUUUGGAACACUGGUCAAAAGUUAAACAUGAAUUGGCCAAAGAUAAAUGGGCUGAUUUCUAGAUUCUCAAUUCUAUUCCAUUGAUCUGUAUGUCUAGCCUUAUAUCAUUAUCACACUUUUCAUUGCUAAAGGCUUUGUUGUAAGUUUUGAAAAAGCAAAGUGGGAGUUCACCAACUCUGUUCAAGAUGAUUUUGGUUUUGGAGGGUUUCUUAAAAUUCCAUAAAAAUUUUAAGACCAGCUUUUCUAUACCUGCAGAAAAGCCCAUUGAAAUUGUGAUUGUUAUUGCAUUAAAUCUAUAGAUUGAUUCAAGUAUUGUCCUCUUAAAAAUACUAAGUCUUUCAAUCUAUCAACAUAAAAUGCUUUUUCCAUCACUUUCAUUUUUGUUACAUCAAAGAAGUUUAUUUUCAAAAUAUUUCAAGAACUGAUAGUAUUAUUUCUUACACAGGACAGUGUUAGAUAUUUUGGUUUUUUAUAUUUUAUUAGCAUGUAAGUAUAUAAUAAAUACAUAAAACAUAAUAAAAUUUCUACCGAG
rnacentral:lncRNA from 1 species